GGCGCCAUAGCCAAGUGGUAAGGCAGAGGUCUGCAAAACCUCGAUUCGCCAGUUCGAAUCUGGCUGGCGCCUCCA
rnacentral:tRNA from 3 species